rnacentral:rRNA from 1 species
CGCGGUAAUACAGAGGGUGCAAGCGUUGCUCGGAUUUACUGGGCGUAAAGCGUACGCAGACGGUGAGAAAGGUCGGAUGUGAAAGCCCCGGGCUCAACCCGGGAACUGCAUCCGAAACCAUCUCGCUCGAGUGUGGGAGAGGGAAGCGGAAUUCCUGGUGUAGAGGUGAAAUUCGUAGAUAUCAGGAGGAACACCGGCGGCGAAGGCGGCUUCCUGGCCCAUUACUGACGUUCAGGUACGAAAGCGUGGGUAGCAAACAGGAUUAGAUACCCUGGUAGUCCACGCCGUAAACGAUGUGUGCUGGAUGUCGGGGGUAUUCACCCCCUCGGUAUCGAAGCCAACGCGAUAAGCACACCGCCUGGGGAGUACGGCCGCAAGGUUGAAACUCAAAGGAAUUGACGGGGGCCCGCACAAGCGGUGGAGUAUGUGGUUUAAUUCGACGCAACGCGAAGAACCUUACCCAGCCUUGACAUGCUCGGAAUCCUGUGGAAACACGGGAGUGCCUUCGCAAGAAGGAGCCGGGACACAGGUGCUGCAUGGCUGUCGUCAGCUCGUGUCGUGAGAUGUUCGGUUAAGUCCGGCAACGAGCGCAACCCUUGCUUCCAGUUGCCAUCAUUCAGUUGGGAACUCUGGAGGGACUGCCGGCGCCAAGCCGGAGGAAGGUGGGGACGACGUCAAGUCAUCAUGGCCUUUAUGGCUGGGGCUACACACGUACUACAAUGGCGUCUACAAAGGGCUGCGAAACGGCGACGUGGAGCAAAUCUCAAAAAAGACGCCUCAGUUCGGAUUGGAGUCUGCAACUCGACUCCAUGAAGUUGGAAUCGCUAGUAAUCGCGGAUCAGAACGCCGCGGUGAAUACGUUCCCGGGCCUUGUACACACCGCCCGUCACACCACGAAAGUUGGAUGGACCUGAAGUC